CUAUGGAAAGACUUAAAAUACUUCCUGCUCUCCCGUGGCUGUAAGACUGUGGUUAAAAUGAAUCUGUGCAGGACGCAUGCAGCACUAGCUAGGCCAGCGUGGGUCCUUUCCACUCACCCCACCCGCUCCGAGUGCUUAAGGACAGCAGCAGCUUAAUUUUCCUUCUUCGUCCGGCGACGACUAUUUCUGAUUUGUCUGUUGGCCUGGGAAUCAGCCAGGGAUGCCAAGUUUCCCCGUCGUUUGGCUAAGGUGGCUUCCCGGUGAAACUGGACAGAGGUGAUGGAUCCCUCUUCAGAGGGACGCGACGCACGUCGGCACGUCGGCGCCGGGGGCCAAGCGGGGCCGAGCGGAGCCGAGCAGGGCCAAACGGAGCUGAGCGGAGCUGAGCAGGGCUGAGCGGGGCCGAGCGGGGCCAAGCGGAACCGAGCAGGGCCAAACGGAGCCGAGCGGGGCCGAGCGGGGCCGAGCGGAGCCGAGCAGGGCCAAACGGAGCCGAGCGGGGCCGAGCGGGGCCGAGCAGGGCCAAACGGAGCCGAGCGGGGCCGAGCGGGGCCGAGCGGAGCCGAGCAGGGCCAAACGGAGCCGAGCGGGGCCGAGCGGGGCCGAGCGGAGCCGAGCAGGGCCAAACGGAGCCGAGCGGGGCCGAGCAGGGCUGAGCGGGGCCGAGCAGGGCUGAGCGGAGCCGAGCGGGGCCGAGCGGGGCCGAGCAGGGCCAAACGGAGCUGAGCGGGGCCGAGCAGGGCCGAGCGGGGCGUCCAAACUGCACUGUCCUGAUGGAGAUUCGGAGCUACUUAACGCAUUUUGCGUUCCCGUGACGUGGCGCACAUCACAGCGCAGCAGGCGCGUCGGCAGCUUCGGCCCGCGCGCUCUCCCGGACACGGGGCUGGAGAAGCGCUUCGGCCUCGUCUGCUUGCUGCUUGCGGGUCGGAUUUCCUCCCAGCGAAGGCAGCACGCGUCGCCGACCGAAAGACCCCCGGAAAAGGCAGCGCGCGAGCGCGGGACGAAGCGCUCCGUCACCCCGCCAGGCCCGCGCCGUGGGUCCAUUCGGCGAGCCCGUGAUGCAGGACCCACCUCCGGACCCGUUCUGCCCUGCGGCUUUCCUGGGGGCUUGCAAGCGUUUCCCUGGCUGGGUAAAAUCAGAGAAAUGCCUUGGAUUCUGUAAGCCUUUUUCUGGUGAAUAAUUCCACCUCUGCACGCAGUGCAGAGAUCUGCCAUCAAAUAUUUCACUGUGCUCAGUGGGUGUUUAAUUACCAUCAAUUCACUGACUUUAAUAGACCGACAUUACCUGAAGACUUGACCUGACACCUUUACCUGAGACAGAAGACGUGCCUGUUUCGGGAGCAAGUGCAAAAGACACUUCCUCUUCCACAGUCAGCCACUGGUUCUUUCAGCAACACUUUUUGUGACCAAGCACAGACUGCCUUUGCCUCUCUGCUGCAGUGCCAUCAGCAGCUGGCACUGGAGAAUCACAGACCUGGAGCAAAAGCCUAUUUUUUAACUGGCAUAUUCCAGUGACAACAGUUAAUACCACCAUCGUCAGGGUAAGUUCUUUCACUAUGCAGUUGCAGAUGGAGGCGGUACAGCAAUAUCAUUUAGCUUGCUCACUUCCAUUUGCCAGUUCGGUAACUUCUUAGCUGAUAAGUGGCGACGUGCAUGCUUCGUUAAGUGGUCGCUCCUCAUGAACCGCCGCUCACACAUGGGGCAGGCAAACUUCUUCUCACCGGUGUGUGUUCGGCGAUGACGAGACAGUUCAUCAGAACGUGCAAAUCUUCUGUCACAGCCUUUCCAGCUACAACUAAAGGGCUUCUCUCCUAAGAGGGGAGAGAUGAAAAAAAGUGUCAUGAGUACUGAGCAACAAUACUAUUGCCUUGAAUUUUGAUUUUUUGUAAGAAGUUUUAUUAUGACAGUUGAGCCAAAGAUCUACACAAAUGUUAUUUUUACAGAUAUAUAUAGUG